CCGGCCGUUCCGUCGGCCGUAGCCUACCUGUGCAUGCGUUGCCGGCAACAGCGACGUGUGAAGCCACGGGGACAACGUGUCGGGCCUUCUGGCCGCGUCGCCUUCCGCGAGGAAGAGACGUCAUCUGCGAGCAUCAAUGCGGAUGGGAUC
rfam:Burkholderia rhizoxinica HKI 454 plasmid pBRH02, complete sequence